rnacentral:rRNA from 1 species
UACAGAGGUCCCGAGCGUUGUUCGGAUUCAUUGGGCGUAAAGGGUGCGUAGGCGGCAUGGCAAGUCGGGUGUGAAAUCCCGGGGCUCAACCCCGGAACUGCACUCGAUACUGCCGUGCUUGAGUGUUGGAGAGGAGACUGGAAUUCAUGGUGUAGCAGUGAAAUGCGUAGAGAUCAUGAGGAAGACCAGUGGCGAAGGCGGGUCUCUGGACAGUUCCUGACACUGAGGCACGAAGGCCAGGGGAGCAAACGGG